rnacentral:misc_RNA from 1 species
GAUGAAGAACGUAGCGAAAUGCGAUAAGUAAUGUGAAUUGCAGAAUUCAGUGAAUCAUCGAAUCUUUGAACGCACAUUGCGCCCGCCAGUAUUCUGGCGGGCAUGCCUGUUCGAGCGUCAUUUCAACCAUCAAGCCCCGGGCUUGUGUUGGGGACCUGCGGCUGCCGCAGGCCCUGAAAUGCAGUGGCGGGCUCGCUGUCACUCCGAGCGUAGUAGUUACAUCUCGCUCUGGGCGUGCUGCGGGUUCCGGCCGUUAAAAGCCUUAUUUAACCAAGGUUGACCUCGGAUCAGGUAGGAAGACCCGCUGAACUUAAGCAUAUCAAUAAGCGGAGGA